UACGUAGGGAGCGAGCGUUGUCCGGAAUCAUUGGGCGUAAAGAGCAUGUAGGUGGAUCAAUUAGUCUGCUGUGAAAGUCAAAGGCUCAACCUUUGAAAGCCGGUGGAUACUGUUGAUCUAGAGUACGGAAGAGGCGAGUGGAAUUCCUGGUGUAGCGGUGGAAUGCGCAGAUAUCAGGAGGAACACCGGUGGGCGAAGGCAGGUCUCUGGGCCGAUACUGACGCUGGAGGAGCGAAAGCGUGGGGAGCGAACAGG
rnacentral:rRNA from 1 species